UACGGAGGGUGCAAGCGUUAUCCGGAUUCACUGGGUUUAAAGGGUGCGUAGGUGGGUUGGUAAGUCAGUGGUGAAAUCUCCGUGCUUUAACAUGGAAACUGCCAUUGAUACUACUGAUCUUGAAUUUUUCAGGAGGUAAGCGGAAAUAUGUCAUGUAGCGGUGAAAAUGCUUAGAUAUGACAUAGAAACACCAAAUUUGCGAAAGGCAGCUUACUACAGGGAAUAUUGACACUGAUGCACGAAAGCGUGGGGAUCAAACAGGGA
rnacentral:rRNA from 1 species